GUGAGGAAUAUUGGUCAAUGGGCGAGAGCCUGAACCAGCCAAGUCGCGUGAAGGAUGAAGGUUUUAUGAAUUGUAAACUUCUUUUGCAGGGGAAUAAAGUACGGUACGUGUACCGUUUUGUAUGUACUCUGCGAAUAAGGAUCGGCUAACUCCGUGCCAGCAGCCGCGGUAAUACGGAGGAUCCAAGCGUUAUCCGGAUUUAUUGGGUUUAAAGGGUGCGCAGGCGGGUUGAUAAGUCAGCGGUGAAAGUUUGCAGCUUAACGGUAAAAUUGCCGUUGAAAAUGUCGAGCUUGAGUGCAAAUGAGGUAAGCGGAAUGUGUUGUGUAGCGGUGAAAUGCUUAGAUAUAACACAGAACACCGAUUGCGAAGGCAGCUUACUGGGAUGCAACUGACGCUCAUGCACGAAAGCGUGGGGAUCAAACAGGAUUAGAAACCCGGGUAGUCC
rnacentral:rRNA from 1 species